rnacentral:rRNA from 1 species
AUUGAACGCUGGCGGCAUGCCUUACACAUGCAAGUCGAACGGCAGCGGACCUUCGGGUGCCGGCGAGUGGCGAACGGGUGAGUAAUAUAUCGGAACGUACCUUUCAGUGGGGGAUAACGUAGCGAAAGUUACGCUAAUACCGCAUAUUCUGUGAGCAGGAAAGCAGGGGAUCGCAAGACCUUGCGCUGAUUGAGCGGCCGAUAUCAGAUUAGCUAGUUGGUGAGGUAAAGGCUCACCAAGGCGACGAUCUGUAGCGGGUCUGAGAGGAUGAUCCGCCACACUGGAACUGAGACACGGUCCAGACUCCUACGGGAGGCAGCAGU